UAUUAAAAUUUUCAUACAUUUGUAUCGUUAAAAACUGGCAUGGUUGCUGGAAUAAUCAAAUACAUGUAACGUGUACCUAAUGCUAAUGUAUAAAUACCAAUUUUUAAUAGCAGAAAUGGAUGAAAAUUUCAAUA
rfam:Gossypium hirsutum cultivar TM-1 unplaced genomic scaffold scaffold854.1, whole genome shotgun sequence